rnacentral:misc_RNA from 1 species
UUUCCCAAAUCAGAUAACACAAAAGACAAUAAAAGACUUAAUUACAGAAAAGGAAAAGUUAGUCCUAAAGUGGACUCAUUGAGCCCUAAAAGCAACAACAUAGAAGGUCAGAAGAAUGCAUCUUCAGAAACAAAUUCUUUUCCGGUCAAUAAAAGUUCUGAUGACAACACCUCAAUCACAAACAAGUUGGGGUCAGUGUUAUAAAUACGG